AGAGGGUGCGAGCGUUAAUCGGAAUUACUGGGCGUAAAGGGCAUGCAGGCGGGUUAACUAAGUCAGCUGUGAAAGCCCCGGGGCUUAACCUGGGAAUGGCAGUUGAAACUGAGAAACUAGAGUACAGCAGAGGGUAGUGGAAUUUCCGGUGUAGCGGUGAAAUGCGUAGAUAUCGGAAGGAACACCAGUGGCGAAGGCGACUACCUGGGCUGAUACUGACGCUGAGGUGCGAAAGCGUGGGGAGCGAACAGGAUUAGAUACCCUGGUAGUCCACGCUGUAAACGAUGAGAACUAGCCGCUGGGAGGGGCAGACCUCUAAGUGGCGUAGCUAACGCGCUAAGUUCUCCGCCUGGGGAGUACGGCCGCAAGGCUA
rnacentral:rRNA from 1 species